rnacentral:rRNA from 1 species
UACGUAGGGGGCAAGCGUUGUCCGGAAUCAUUGGGCGUAAAGAGCGUGUAGGCGGCUCGAUAAGUCUGCUGUGAAAAGUCCGAGGGCCUCAACCCUGGAAGGCCGGUGGAAACGUGUCGGCUAGAGUCCGGAAGAGGGCGAGUGGAAUUCCCGGUGUAGCGGUGAAAUGCGCAGAUAUCGGGAGGAACACCAAUGGCGAAGGCAGCUCGCUGGGACGGUACUGACGCUGAGACGGCGAAAGCGUGGGGAGCAAACAGG